UUUGCUCUCAUUUAUAAAUAUUAAUGACGAAAAUAAUACCAACUUGUUAUUUUAAGCCUCUCCCUAUGAUACUUUCUUCAAAUCCUUCUAAAAUCCAUUUUUCAAAGCAAUCGUGUUCAUCAAUGGUGUUCAAGCAAUCACGUUUAUCAAUGAAAUUCUUGUUACCUCUCUCGACCUUUGUUGAAUAAUGAAACUGGGCCAACGAAUUUGGGUUAUUAGCUUUGGUUUGAUUUUGAUUUUGAUUUUGAUGAGUUUCAGAUUAAGUACUGCUUUCAUAUUUGUGGUGAAGAGGAUGAGUUUCAGAUUUGAUGAGUUUCAAAAGUAUUGCUUUCAUAUUUUGAUAAGUUUCAGAUUUGAAGAAGAUGAUGAAUUCAGAUUUGUGGAUUUGUGGCGGAGAAGACGAUGAAUUAUAUUAGAUAAUUUUGUAUCUUUAAAGUUAGUUUUAAAUAUUUAAAAAUUAAAAAAAUAAUAUGUAUUCAUUAAUUUUAUAUAAAUAUAUUUAUAAAAAUUAUAUAUUAAUUAAAUUUUUAUUAAUUUAAUUAUUUGUUAUUUAAAAAAAGAGAGAAUUCAAGUUUGAAAAUCAAAAAAAUUUAAAAUAAAG
rnacentral:lncRNA from 1 species